rnacentral:rRNA from 1 species
UGGGGAAUUUUGGACAAUGGGGGCAACCCUGAUCCAGCCAUCCCGCGUGUGCGAUGAAGGCCUUCGGGUUGUAAAGCACUUUUGGCAGGGAAGAAACAGCCUGGGAUAAUACCCCGGGCGACUGACGGUACCUGCAGAAUAAGCACCGGCUAACUACGUGCCAGCAGCCGCGGUAAUACGUAGGGUGCAAGCGUUAAUCGGAAUUACUGGGCGUAAAGCGUGCGCAGGCGGUUCGUAAAGAAAAGGUGUGAAAUCCCAGGGCUUAACCUUGGAACUGCACUUUUAACUACCGAGCUAGAGUACGUCAGAGGGGGGUAGAAUUCCACGUGUAGCAGUGAAAUGCGUAGAGAUGUGGAGGAAUACCGAUGGCGAAGGCAGCCCCCUGGGAUGAUACUGACGCUCAUGCACGAAAGCGUGGGGAGCAAACAGGAUUAGAUACCCUGGUAGUCCACGCCCUAAACGAUGUCAACUAGUUGUCGGGUCUUCAUUGACUUGGUAACGUAGCUAACGCGUGAAGUUGACCGCCUGGGGG